ACAAACUUGGUCAUUUAGAGGAAGUAAAAGUCGUAACAAGGUUUCCGUAGGUGAACCUGCGGAAGGAUCAUUAAUGAAUCAACUUUUUGGUUAGGUUGUUGCUGGCUUCUUGGAGCAUGUGCACACCUUUCCUAAUAGUUUUUUUUGUUUAUAUACCCAUGUGCACCUUUGUAGGCUAAGAAAAAGCUAACUUUCAAGAGCUCUGGUGUAAAAACCCCCCAUCUCUUGGAUGUCUGGGGGAACUGCUGUGUCAAAAACCAGCUGUCCCUGUGCAGUUUCUUAGUCUAUGUCUUUCUCUACACCCCAUAUUGUAUGUGACAGAAUGUAGUUUAAAUAGGCCUUGUGUGCCUUUAAAACUAAUACAACUUUCAACAAUGGAUCUCUUGGCUCUCGCAUCGAUGAAGAACGCAGC
rnacentral:misc_RNA from 1 species